rnacentral:tRNA from 1 species
GUCCGAAUGGUGGAACUGGAAGACACGACAGACUUAAAAUCUGUUGACCAGAAAUGGUCGUGCGAGUUCGAUUCUCGUUUCGGGCA